rnacentral:rRNA from 1 species
AUUGAACGCUGGCGGCAGGCCUAACACAUGCAAGUCGAACGAGUGGCGGACGGGUGAGUAAUGUCUGGGUAACUGCCUGAUGGAGGGGGAUAACUACUGGAAACGGUAGCUAAUACCGCAUACCAUCAGAGGUGCCCAGAUGGGAUUAGCUUGUUGGUGGGGUAACGGCUCACCAAGGCGACGAUGCGUAGCUUGUCGGAGAGGAUGACAAGACACAGUGGAACUGAGACAUGGUGCAGACUCGUAAGGGAGGCAGGAGUGGGGAAUAUGGAACAAUGGGCGUAGGUCUGGUGGAGAAAUGCCGCGUGUAUGAAGAAGGCCUUCGGGUUGUAAAGUAUUUUCAGCUGGGAGGAGUUGCCCGAGGAAGCUGCACCGGCUAACUCCGUGCCAGCCGCCGCGGUAAUUC